rnacentral:misc_RNA from 1 species
AACGCAAAUUGCACUUUCUGGUAUUCCGGAAAGUAUGCCUGUUUGAGGGUCAGUUAAAUAAAAAUCGGUGUUGUUGCUGCCUUUCGUGGUGACGCGUCGGAAUUGGGUCGUCUUACCUUCGGUUAAGUGACUUAAAAUUUUGCAUGAUUUUUUGAACGUAUUUAAAUCGCUUACGUACGUUUGAGAUGUCGAAUGUUUAUUAGGUUCGGUCAUCCUCAUGACUCGCGCCUAUAAUUUUUCAUUAAAUGACCUCAAAUCAGGUAAGAAUACCCGCUGAACUUAA